rnacentral:tRNA from 1 species
GGGCGGUUAGCUCAGUGGUAGAGCAACUGACUUACAUUCAGUAGGCCAUAGGUUCAAAUCCUAUACCGCCCA